CGCAUCUGUGCAUGCAGCAUAUCAAUAAGCGGAGGAAAAGAAACUAACAAGGAUUCCCCUAGUAACGGCGAGUGAAGCGGGAAGAGCUCAAAUUUGAAAUCUUAAAGGGUUUCCCUUUACGAAUUGUAGUUUAAAGAAGUGUUUUCUGUUGAUGGUUUUGGUAAAAGUUCUUUGGAAUAGGACAGUCAUAGAGGGUGAGAAUCCCGUAUUUGACCUUUACUUUCAACUUUGUGAUACACUUUCAAAGAGUCGGGAUUGUUUGGGAAUGCAGUCCAAAAUGGGUGGUAAAUUUCAUCUAAAGCUAAAUAUUGGCGAGAGACCGAUAGCGAACAAGUACCGUGAGGGAAAGAUGAAAAGAACUUUGAAAAGAGAGUUAAACAGUACGUGAAAUUGUCAAAAGGGAAGCGUUUGACACCAGUGUUGUUUUUUCUGAAAAUCAAUUAAAGAACUGUUUAUGCUAAGCUUGUUUAGACUUUAUCAGCUAAUCUGUUUAGUUUUGAGCUUUUCUUUAAUGCACUUUUCAGUUAACAAGUCAACAUCAAUUUCUUUUGCUGUAAAAAAGGCUUGAGGAAGGUGGCUUGAGAUUCGUCUUAAGUGUUUAUAGCCUCUUGCCUAUGCAGUCGGAGAGAUUGAGGUCUGCAGCGUAGAUCCUUCGGGGCUAAAUGCAUUUGUGCUAAGUUAUAGCAUUUUAUAGACAACUUGUUGACUAUGAUUUGUCUUGUAGCUUACUCGCUUAUGUUAUUUUACCUACGCUUAGGAUGUUGAGUCGUAGAGCACGCAG
rnacentral:rRNA from 1 species